rnacentral:lncRNA from 1 species
GGGUCCCUGCACCGGGAACCAGCAGAGCCUGGCGCACAGUCGCCUAUGGGACGCAGUGGUGGGAUUCCUGCACGUGUUCGCCCACAUGAUGAUGAAGCUCGCUCAGAUGACACCCAUAUCAGGCAUUCAUGAUGUAAGGUCCCUGUUGAGCACCAUCUUCCAUUUCCAUAAUCCUUGUUCCUCUUUCCCUCACCCCUUUGCAGCCUUGCCAAUGUCUCACGAACACUUAAUCCAUUUGCUCUGCUUCUGUCUGGUAACUAUAUUCAAGGCUGCCAUAUACUGUUCCGCAGGUUGUGCACUGCACAAAGGCACG